GACGAACGCUGGCGGCGUGCCUAAUACAUGCAAGUAGGACGCAGUUGCGAACGGGUGAGUAACGCGUAGGUAACUACCUAUUAGAGGGGGAUAACUAUUGGAAACGAUAGCUAAUACCGCAUACUAGUAGAUGGACCUGCGUUGUAUUAGCUAGUAGGUAGGGUAAUGGCCUACCAAGGCAACGAUACCUAGCCGACCUGAGAGGGUGAUCGGCCAGCAUGGGACUGAGACACGGCCCAGACUCCUACGGGAGGCAGCAUUAGGUAAUCUUCGGCAAUGGGGGGAACCCUGACCGAGCAACGCCGCGUUAGUGAAGAAGGUUUACGGAUCGUAAAGCUCUGUUGUUAAGGAAGCGGUACUUAACCAGAAAGGGACGGCUAACUCCGUGCCAGCAGCCGCGUAAUUC
rnacentral:rRNA from 1 species